rnacentral:lncRNA from 1 species
AUCUCUUCCCAGUUCAAUCCCAUCUGUUACAGAUGAAGAAAUACACAUCCAGAGAAACUGGCAUACUGUCUUAAGGCCAUACACUCCUUAACAGGAGGACUUUAAAAUUUGGUCACAUUGCUACCAGGACAUUUUGUUUUAUUUAAAUGCAACAACACAAACAUUACUAAUCUGGUUUCCUCAAAUUCGUUGGUACACUCCCUGUCAACAAUGGUUUUAUCAGCUAUCAAAAUCUAAUUGAAAUGGCAGUGCUGCAUGUAGUCAUCCAAUAAUUAUCAAAUAAACAGACUGAAAAUUCAGAUGCAUUUGAACAAAAGCCAUCAAAGCAACAUAAACAGGAGAAAAGGAACUUCAGAAGCUGCUGAAGCUGCAGAUUUUGGUGUCAUUGACCUGUCUUCCUCUUUGUUUGGUGGUUGAUGAAUCCUUGGAGAGAGGUGUCUGCAACCCUGAUGGAGAGCCAGAAAAUAGAGCUUCUGUGAACGGCAGCCCCUGGACGCCUGAUUUUUCUGAAAGAUAGGCUGUUGAUCAGGCAAGCAGAGACUUAAUGAUUUAUGCCUUUAAGCUCAACUCCAG